GUCCACGCCUUGUGGCGGCUUUGCGGAGCUGCUGCUUUGGCGGGAGUUGGCGGCUGGUGUGAGGCUCUCAUGGCCACCAUGUUGGAAGGCAGAUGCCAAACUCAGCCAAGGAGCAGCCCCAGUGGCCGAGAGACUAGCCUGUGGUCGUCAGGCUUUGGGAUGAAGCUGGAGGCUGUCACUCCAUUCCUGGGGAAGUAUCGCCCCUUUGUGGGUCGCUGUUGCCAGACCUGCACCCCCAAGAGCUGGGAGUCCCUCUUCCACAGAAGCAUAAUGGACCUAGGCUUCUGCAAUGUGAUCCUGGUGAAGGAGGAGAACACAAGGUUUCGGGGCUGGCUGGUUCGGAGGCUCUGCUAUUUCCUGUGGUCCCUGGAGCAGCACAUCCCCCCCUGCCAGGAUGUCCCACAGAAGAUCAUGGAAAGCACCGGGGUGCAGAACCUCCUCUCAGGGAGGGUCCCAGGAGGCACUGGGGAAGGCCAGGUGCCUGACCUUGUGAAGAAGGAGGUACAGCGCAUCCUGGGUCACAUCCAGGCCCCACCCCGUCCCUUCCUGGUCAGGCUGUUCAGCUGGGCGCUGCUGAGGUUCCUGAACUGCCUGUUCCUGAAUGUGCAGCUCCACAAGGGUCAGAUGAAGAUGGUCCAGAAGGCCGCCCAGGCAGUAAGGCCCGCCCUCCAUUGGGUUGGGGAUGGUGGGAGCAGAAGAGCAGAGGCUGGGCCAAGCCCUUAAGUCAGGAGCAGUCCCCAUCUGGUCCUGCUUCCUGGCCUCUCUGCUCCCAGCCAUACAGCAGUCCAGUCCCCAUCAGCUGGUGGGAAAAAUCCCCUGCUCUUUGCCGACCUUCCCUUAUGUCUCACGGCCCUGCUCCCAUGGGGCUUCCUCUAACGUCUUUCCAUCAUGGUCUUAACAACCAUUACGUCAGUGCGUCGGUGCAGUUACCUUAAGAGUUGUCUAAAGGCUCCUUUGCUUUUGGGAAAUGUGCUCAGAGGAAGAACUCUGCGGCUGAACUGUCCCUCCCUCUGGGGCUGCCCUGGGUCUUUGGCUGCCUGUGUCCUCAGGGUGGGGCAGGUUGGCACUUCCCUCUGGCUCUCCCUGGAGCAGGGCUUGCCGCUUGUCCUCCUCUCUACUCACAAAACCCUCCUGGAUGGGAUCCUGCUGCCCUUUAUGCUGCUCUCCCAGGGCCUGGGUGUGCUCCGUGUGGCCUGGGACUCCCGCACCUGCUCCCCUGCCCUCAGAGCUCUGCUGAGGAAGCUUGGGGGGCUUUUCCUGCCCCCAGAGGCCAGCCUCUCCCUGGACAGCUCUGAGGGGCUCCUUGCAAGGGCUGUGGUCCAGGCGGUCAUAGAGCAGCUGCUGGUUAGUGGGCAGCCCCUGCUCAUCUUCCUGGAGGAACCUCCUGGGGCUCUGGGGCCACGGCUGUCAGCCCUGGGCCAGGCUUGGGUGGGGUUUGUGGUGCAGGCAGUCCAGGUGGGCAUCGUCCCAGAUGCUCUGCUGGUACCAGUGGCCGUCACCUAUGACCUGGUUCCGGAUGCACCGUGUGACAUAGACCAUGCCUCGGCCCCCCUGGGGCUGUGGACAGGAGCUCUGGCUGUCCUACGUAGCUUGUGGAGCUGCUGGGGCUGCAGCCACCGGAUCUGCUCCCGGGUGCACCUAGCUCAGCCCUUUUCCCUGCAGGAAUACAUCGUCAGUGCCAGAAGCUGCUGGGGCGGCAGACAGACCCUGGAGCAGCUACUGCAGCCCAUCGUGCUGGGCCAAUGUACUGCUGUCCCAGACACUGAGAAGGAGCAGGAGUGGACCCCCAUAACUGGGCCUCUCCUGGCCCUCAAGGAAGAGGACCAGCUUCUGGUCAGGAGACUGAGCUGUCAUGUCCUGAGUGCCAGUGUAGGGAGCUCUGCGGUGAUGAGCACGGCCAUCAUGGCAACGCUGCUGCUCUUCAAGCAUCAGAAG
rnacentral:sRNA from 1 species